rnacentral:rRNA from 1 species
AGGAAUGCUUAGUGGCGGACUGGUGAGUAACGCGUGAGGAACCUGCCUUUCAGAGGGGGACAACAGUUGGAAACGACUGCUAAUACCGCAUGAUGCGUAACUGGGACAUCCCGGAUACGCCAAAGAUUUUAUCGCUGAAAGAUGGCCUCGCGUCUGAUUAGAUAGUUGGCGGGGUAACGGCCCACCAAGUCGACGAUCAGUAGCCGGACUGAGAGGUUGACCGGCCACAUUGGGACUGAGAUACGGCCCAGACUCCUACGGGAGGCAGCAGUGGGGAAUAUUGGGCAAUGGGCGCAAGCCUGACCCAGCAACGCCGCGUGAAGGAAGAAGGCUUUCGGGUUGCAAACUUCUUUUAAGUGGGAAGAGUAGAAGACGGUACCACUUGAAUAAGCCACGGCUAACUACGUGCCAGCAGCCGCGGUAAUACGUAGGUGGCAAGCGUUGUCCGGAUUUACUGGGUGUAAAGGGCGUGCAGCCGGGC